ACCCGUUUUUGUGGCUUUUUUCCGCUGGACGAACUUGGCGCCCCGGCCUUCGGGCGGUUAUUUUUGGGUGCGGCUUUGGCCACGCCCUAGUUUUGGCACACGGAGGCCCCUCGUAAAGUCUCGCGGCUUUCCGAGUCCGGCGGACGAAGCUGGCCGUCCCACCCCCCAAGGCUAUAGCCCACCCGUUUUUGUGGCCUUUUUCCGCUGGACGAACUUGGCGCCCCGGCCUUUUGGCUGUUAUUUUGGGGCGCGGCUUUGCCCGCGGCCUAUUUUUGGCACACGGAGGCCCCUCGCAAAGUCUCGCGGCAUUCCGAGUUCGGCGGACGAAGUUGGCCAGCCCCACCCCCCAAGGCUAUACCCCACCCGUUUUCGUGGCCUUUUUCCGUUGGACGAACUUGGCGCCCCGUCCUUCGGGCUGUUUUUUUUGGGUACGGCUUGGCCCGCGGCCUAUUUUUCACACACGGAGGCCCCUCGCAAAGUCUCGUGGCAUUCCGAGUCCGGCGGACGAAGUUGGCCAGCCCCACCCCCCAAGGCUAUAGCCCACCCGUUUUUGUGGCCUUUUUCCGCCGGACGAAAUUGGCGCCCCGGCCUUCGGGCGGCUAUUUUUGGGCGCGGCUUUGUCCGCGGCCUACUUUUGACACACGGAGGUGCCUUGCAAAGUCUCGCGGCAUUCCGAGUCUGGCGGACGAGGUUGGCCAGCCCCACCCCCCAAGGCUAUAGCCCACCUGUUUUUGUGGCCUUUUUCCUCUGGACGAACUUGGCGCCCCGGCCUUCGGGCGGUUAUUUUUGGGCGCGGCUUUGCCCACGGCCUAUUUUUGGUACACGGAGGCCCCUCGCAAAGUCUCGCGGCAUUCCGAGUCCGGCGGACGAAGUUGGCCAGCCCCACCACCCAAGGCGAUAGCCCACCCGUUUUUGUGGCCUUUUUCCGCUGGACGAACUUGGCGCCCCGGCCUUCGGGCGGUUAUUUUUUGGCGUGGCUGUGCCCGCGGCUUAUUUUUGGCACACGGAGGUGCCUCGCAAAGUCUCGCGCCAUUCCGAGUCCUGCGGACGAAGUUGUCCAGCCCCACCCCCCAAGGCUAUAGCCCACCCGUUUUUGUGGCCUUUUUCCGCUGGACGAACUUGGCGCCCCGGCCUUAGGGUGGUUAUUUUUGGGCGCGGCUGUGUCCGCGGCCUAUUUUUGGCACACGGAGGCCCCUCGAAAAGUCUCGCGGCA
rnacentral:lncRNA from 1 species